UACACAUUAUGAUUCCUCCAUUAUUAUCCCCUUCUUCCGUACACAUUAUCAAAACGAAAUUAGGGCAGAGAUCUCCUGUGAUUGUCGACAUUGAAGACCGUUAAUCACUCAUACGUUAAAAAUGUUCCUCUAUAUAAACACCAACAUAGGUCAUCAUCUUACCAUGUUUCAGACGCAUUCUCUCUCAACACUGCUAGGUUUCAACUGUUGUUUUCGGAAAAGAGGUGCCAUCCAUCUUAGGGAUCAUUUGUUGGGCUUUCUCAACUGUUGCUGCAGUGGAAGGUGUAAAAAAGAUCAUUACUAGAGAUCUGAGUGCACUGUGUAAACAAGAGUUUGUGGACUGUGAUACAUCUUACAUCCAAAGAUGUGAUGGAGGUCUUACGGAAUAUGGGUUCCAGUGCAUCAUUAAGAAUGGUAAAAUCGAAACCGAAGAAGAUUACCUGGACAAGGCUAAAGAACCGAAGAAGAUUACCCGGACAAGGCUAAAGACGGAAAAUGUGAUAUGAACACCCAAGGUUAGUAUUGUGUAUAAAUUAGUAUACUAAAUGAGAACUAUGUAUAAGUUACUAUCAUGAAUUUUAAUAUGUUGUUUUGCAUAACACAAAUGUAUGUCGAUCAAGAAUUUGCAGAGGUACGCAACUGUUAUCACUACUUGAAAAAAAGGGACUAGGAUGUCUGUUUGGAAACGAUACUCUUAGCUUAGAUAGAUGAGAUUGUGAGGUCAUCGGACUGCAGUUUGUGGAAGAGUACAUCUUUCGCUCCAAUAUAUUUUUAUUUCUGCCCAACAGUAAAUAUUUGCUGACUAACCAAAUUGGAUCACCUAACUUAUUGCGAAAUGGAUUGGACUAUUCUUUUAGAUAACCGGGAGCAUUAUCCUGUUAAUGAAAUCGUUAGUUUAUCUAUAGUAUAUAUUCGAAUCAUAGGCUGCUAUGAUUUGUCUGACAAUUUUGAGGUGUCUUGGGUUUCUUGACACUUAAUCUUAACACUAAAUUGUUCGUUGGCAUCUUCCAUCUCUGUUAGGGCUUAUACAUUCGUUUAAUAUGUAUGUUUGUAUAACAAUGGGUUUGAUGGAUGUACUAUAGGGUUCAGUGAUAAUAAUAGUCAAUUGUUAUAAUGGUAGUAUAAUGGCUAAUUUGUGUUAUAUAUAUUCAUGUAUUUUGACCAUAUGUCGAAAUAUCUAAUUUUGAGUUUUAAGUUUUCAUUAGUGGCCUUUGAGUACAACAACAUUUCCAUAUAAUUUUAUAGAUUAGUCUCUGUUUGUUAUGGAUUAGUCUCUGUUUGGACAAAACUGAAAAUGCUUUGCUUACUUAACAUUUGAAUUUGUCAAUAUUAUUCUCUCAUGAUCUCUUAAAUACCACGAGAGACAAAUUUAUUAUAUCCAGUGCUGCUAUCGGCUUGAAAAUGAUCAACAUGUCUUAUCGUGUGGUGGUUUAUACUUUAUAAUUUGGGUUCUAUCUGUCAUCAAUCUGUUUUUGGAUUUUAUGGAUCACAUGUUUUUGAUUUAUCUCUCUCAAACAGAGUUAAACAUGAAUCUUAUCCUAAUUUAUGUGGUGUCAUGAUGAAUUCUUGGUAUAACUGACUUAUCAUGCACAAAAUCAAUCUCAAGCUAAUUAAUAACUCAUGUUUUCUAAUGACCAAUGUGACCAACUCUUUUCUAAUGAAUUUUUAGUGAUGUAUAUGGUUCGUGUUAUCUGUGCAUUCAUGCGAUGGAGUAGUGUUUUCACCCAUCGCUCUUUGUAUAACAAGAUUGAGAGAAGACUUCACAGAUGCCUAUCGGCUUAACGUCUUUUUUGGGCCAUCCUAGGAAGAAGAACUGUGGUAAGAUUCAUGUUGUCCUCCCAUUUAAUUAUUAACUAAACGUAGUCAAACUUAUAGAGAUAGUAUCGCUAUUUAUUUUUUGGGUCUGUGUCAAUUGACUUAUAAACAGAGAAAUAAGAAACCAAAGGUUCAAGCAGUAGACACAAUAGGAAUUGUGGUUGUCAAUAGUAGUGACGUUGAUUCAAGGUAGUUUCAUCGCAGUUGCCGUUUUAUUUCUGUGCCGAGGAAUGCUUUAAUACAAUAUGGAGGGUAAAAGUGUUUCUUUUUUGAUAUUAUUGUAGAAUUUAGAAUUUUCAGGGCUCACAUUACCACCUGUAAAAAUUAUUCCAUUUCUCAGUCUAUAAAGCCUGAGAUGAUUUUGUAAACAAACUUUUUAAAAGGUAAAUGUUACAAAGAUGAGGGUUUCAUGCAUUCAGCAACGCUAGAAGGCAAUAUACGAAGGGGCUGUGGAUACUCCAUAUACAAUCAUGACGAAGCAAUUGUAGUUUCAGACAGAUUAAACAGUGCAUUGAUAGCUAACCUUCAAACAUGGAAUGAAUCGCAUGGAAUGGAACUUCGAUAUAAAUUUUUGCACUUUCUGUUAACGGAUGUUUUGUAAUAUAUGUGCACUUAGUGCUGCUACUGACAUUGUUUCACUAACUUUUUAUAGUUGAGGUAUGUAAUGAAAAAAUGGAGCAUUUGUCAA